rnacentral:rRNA from 1 species
AGUCUUGCAAUUGGAUUGAGAACAACGUACAACUCUUAUCGAUAAGCCAUUGGAGGGCAAGUCUGGUGCCAGCAGCCGCGGUAAUUCCAGCUCCAAUAGCGUAUAUUAACGUUGUUGCAGUUAAAAAGCUCGUAGUUGAAGUGAGGGAGUGUGUGUUCAUGAGAGCUAGUCUCGAGUGUUCACAACCUCCCCCCUCCAAUCGGUGUAGUGGGGUAUUCAGUUAUUUCACUACUCCUUUGGUCGUUUACUGUGAGAAAAUUAGAGUGUUCAAAGCGGGCGUUUGUUUGAAUAGAUUAGCAUGGAAUAAUGAUUGAAGGCUUUCGUGUUCGAUUUGAUUGGUUUGUUCAUGGAAGCAAGGUUAAAAGGAACAGUUGGGGGUAUUCAUAUUCACUAGUUAGAGGUGAAAUUCUCGGAUUUAUGGAAGAUGAACAAGG